rnacentral:lncRNA from 1 species
UACAGAGUUGUACUGUGGGCGAAAGUACAAAAACAAGUAAUAAACAAGUUGAAUUUGAGAUGGGUACCUGUGAAACUUCCAGUUAGAGAUGUUAAAGAUGUUGGACAUAAUUGAUCUGCAUCUCCAGAGAGUGGUCAAAGUGAGAGUUAAAAAUGUACAGGUAGUAGAAUGUAUUACUCCAAAUUUAAAAGAGUCUGAGCUUCUCAAGGAGAAUUAUGUAUUCAAGUUUCAAGUCCCUCAUGACUAUCACAGACCCUUAUAAAAGUAGUGCUCAAUAAAGGUUAAAUUGAACAUAUCCUCAUAGAUACUGAUUUUAUUUAGGAUGUACACACUUUCAGCACUUGAGAUUAAUAUUUAUUCAAUGAAUAAGAAACCAUAAGAAAGGAAACUAUAAGAAAGAUUUGAGACAUGAUUUCUGCCUUUAGGAAUAUUUUAAUUUGGUUGGGAGAUUAAAACAAACAAUGCUUUGAAAAAUUAAGAAGCAAUAAUCAAUUGUCCAUCAUCGAGUUUUAGCUGCUGUUGUAUUUAGGUGAGAAGAAAGUUUAACAGAGACUUGAAAUGCUAGAGAAAGCUCUAAAUAGGUGGAAUUUUAGUUGGUCCUUGAAAAAUGCACAUCUUUGGGAAAAAAGAGAAAGAGAACAUUUUAGUUUGAGGAAUUGGCAUGGAUAAAGGCUUAGAAGCUGGAGUUUAGGUACAUGCUUGUGUGACUUCAAUGACACUCGUUUCAAUGCAGUUUAAGUGCUGAGGAGUGGUAAGAAAGCUGGAGAGAUCAGUCACAUGGAGUCAUGGAGGGUCUUAAACUAGCCAGAGAUAUUGGAAUUGCUUUAGUAGAUAACACAGAAUUAAAUAAGAAUGCUCUUAAGUGGGUGUGACAAUUUUUAUUAUAUUUUCAUGAAUAAUCUAGAAGUGGUGUGUCAGAGGACUUGAAUGAAGGAGGGGACAGGAAGCAGGGAAACCUGUCUGGACACCUUUCAAGUAAUCUAAGUCUAAACUUAUUAGGUCCAGGACUAAGGGAAAACCAAGGAAAUGGAUAAAAUGGGGUAAAUUUGAGAGACAUUUCAAUAAGAGAAAUGACAAAAUUUGGCAUCAGAUUAGGAAUCAGCACACAAAAAUAGAAAUAAGUCAAAGAUAAGCCUAGAAUAAUAGUGAUAUCCUGGACAAAUAGCUAAUGUCAAGAAGAGUCAAUAAUUCAUGAAUUCAUAGAAAUUUAGAAACAGGAGCUUAGAAAUGAUAUCUAUAGACACCGCUUUUCAGAGAUGAGGAAAUUAACAGAGAGCUUGAGUGACUAGUUCCUGGUCACCCUGCCUGGGCGACAGAUCGAGACUCCGUCUCAAAAAAAAAAAAAAAAAAAAAAAGAAAAGAAAAAAGAAAAUAGCUAGAAUCCUAGAGGAUUUACCCUGGAAGCAGUUGGUUUAAUGCUACCCGUGGGAGAUCAAUGUUGGAUGGAUGGAUUUGGGAGCAUCUGAAAGGCAGUUGGAGCCAUGGGAGUGGUUGUGCUCUUCCAGUGAGAGAUUAUAUAGGGAAGAAAAAAGAGGAGCAAAGAUAAAGUCACAGGAAAUAUCUACAAUUAGGGAUUCAAACUAGAAGGAAGAUGGUUCCCAAAGAAGUCAGGUAAGGAUCAAACAGACGUGAGGAGUCCUCGUGCAGUGGUUACAGGCACUUUGUGGGGUUGAGGUGGGUGGAUCACUUGAGGCCAGGAGUUUGAAAACAGCUUGGCCAACAUGGUGAAACCCUGUCUCUACUAAGAAUACAAUAACCAGGUGUGGUGGUGCACGUCUGUAAUCCCAGCUACUUGGGAGGCUGAGGCAGGAAAAUCACUUGAACCCAGGAGGCAGAGGUUGCAGUGAGCCAGGAUCGUGCCACUGCACUCCAGCCUGGGCAACAGAGCAAGGCUCUGUCUCAAAACAAACAAACAAAUGAAAAAGCAGACAUGAGGAACGAUUAGAGGUGGCCAGAGUCAGAUUCUGUGGCAUGUUCCCUUAUGAUGAGUUCUGAGUUUUGUUAUUUAUUUUGCACAAAACUGAGUAUCCUAUGGCAUUUCACUGUGAACAUCACUAUAUACUCAUCAUGGUUUUUCUCUGCCAAUACUUUGAUAUUCCGUGUCAGUUUUUUCCUUAUGCAUGGUCCUUUGAUUAUUAAUGUUCAAUAAUAUAAUGAGUUAACAUGAACAAAUGUUUGUUUGAAACACUGACAAUAAUCCACCUGUGUACUACUCUCCCUCUUCCUGUCCCUGCCUUCCCACCCCCAGUGUAAGUACUACUCUUAGGAUUUUUAUGUAGUUUUAUCACUGUAGGUAUACCUACUAAAUAAUUUUUUAAGUUACUUUUUUUUUUUUUUUUAGAUGGAGUCUCACUCUGUUGCCAAGGCUGGAGUGCAGUGGCGUGAUCCCGGCUCACUGCAACCUCUGCCUCCUGGGUUCAAGCAAUUCUCCUGCCUCAGCCUCCUGAGUAGCUGAGAUUACAGGCAUGCAACACCAUACCUGGCUAAUUUUUGUGUUUUUAGUAGAGACGGGGUUGCACAAUGUUGGCCAGGCUGGUCUUGAACUCCUGACCUCAGGUGAUUCGCCCACCUCGGUCUCCCAAAGCACUGGGAUUACAGGCAUGAGCCACUGUGCCUGGCCUUAAGUUACUUUUUUAUGUAGAGGGGGUUUUAUGUUAUUAGUAAUCUUUGAAACUUAUGUUUUCAUGCAUUAUGUUUUUAAGAUUCAUCUGUAUUGUAUGUAGCUGUAGUCCGUUCAUUUUUGCUGCCUUAUAGAAUUCCAUGUUUGAAUGCCACAUUUUAUUUUCCUGUCAAUCGCCGUUUAAUUUCAAGUAGUUUAGGUUGAUUUGAAUAGUGCAACUAUAAGCAUACUUGGACAUGUCUGCUCGUGUAUAUUGCAAUGACUUCUAUUGGGUGUAUAUCUAUUUACACUGAUCUUAAACUCCUUCUGUGAAGCAUAACACAUUAGAAAGGCAUUAGGUGAAUUUUCUGAUUGUGGAAAUUUGAGUCUAAAAGAAUCAACAACUUUCCCUAAGGUGAAUAGAUUCAAAUAUCACCCUAGGAGCUGUGCAUAGUGUGUACUCUAGAUAAGGGUUAGUUACCAAAUGUUUUCUUGGGGGCAAAAUUAUAAGCAACAGUUGGUGACUGAUUUUUUUCCACUGACCCAAUUUAAUGUCAAUGUUAUUUUCAGGAUACAAAAGGAAAACUGAAGGCUAGGGGCAAGGAAAGAGGUAACAGAUUAACUGAAGCAUUAGAAUUGCUCUGCAGCUAUUCCAGAAAAAUUUACCUUCAUCUCCUUUGAGAGUCCCCUUACUCUACCUAGCAGCCUUCCUUGCUGUGAGAGGGUGAACAAUAUGAACAAAAAGAAGCAAGGAAAAGGGCUCUGUCGGAUUUGUUCACUCAGAACCAGUUGAUAGUCUGCCAAGAAAAGUUUCUCACCCUCAAGAGGUUCUGAGCUUAAAAGUCUCUUUGUGAACACGUGAGAAAGGAUCCUUCCCUGCUCAGGAAUCCUGCAUGUAUUUAUGUGUGUGUGCGUGGGCACGAAGGUUUGGAGGAAAGUGGACACUGGACUGAUACAGUACUAUUUUUUUGGAAGUGUUACAAACAUCUUCUCGCUUACAUUAAAAUUGUUGCUAUACCCUGAAUUACAAUAACCCUCUUGUUGAAACAUCACUCAUUUUUACUUGCAAUAAUCACACUUAGAAAUUACACGUAUUUCUCAGCCAAACAACGUAAUUUCCUGCUUUAACUGAGCAUCUUAGCCUUGCACCCAGUGACAAACCUCUCUACCUAUUUCACAUCCACCUCACAGAGUGGAAGGAAGGGAAUGAAAAUCUUAUUAUUUAUGGAUAUAGAAAUUGAGAACAAUACAAAGGGGCCAAUGAAUCAGAGGUGCCAUUCUGCCUUACAGUGGGGUCUUCUUUGCCAGGACCUCAGGCACGAUUCUUGUGAUCUCUGUCUUCUACUCAUUUGCUGUAUUCCCAUUCUUCUUUUUUUCUUAGAAAACUGGUUUUUAAGAAAACAUUAAAAGGCCGGUGCAGUGGCUCACGCCUGUAAUCCCAGCACUUUGGGAGGCCAAGGUGUGUGGAUCACCUGAGUUCAGGAGUUCAAGACCAGUCUGGCCAACAUGGAGAAACCCCAUCUCUACUAAAAAAAAAAAAAAAAAAAAAAAAAAAAAAAAAAAAAAAAAUUAGCCAGGCGUGGUGGCAGGCGCCUGUAAUCCCAGUUACUCAGGAGGCUGAGGCAGGAGAAUUGCUUGAACCCGGGAGGCAGAGGUUGCAGUGAGCCUAGAUCACACCAUUGCACUCCAGCCUGGGCAACAGACUGAGACUCCAUCUCAAAAACAACAACAACAACAAAACAUUAAAUAGUAUACAAAUGCCAUGCAUUUAAGUGGAACACAGUGCCAACACAUUACCAAUUAUUCCAAGCACAUACAUGAAACAUACAUAUAGAAAGUAUUGUUUCCAAAUUGGAAUGUGCAUUCUACAAGGAAAUAUUUAAAUCAAAAUGAAAUAGCGGGGCUUCAUCCUUCUUUGGACAGUACUUUAAAGCAGAGCAAGGAACCAUAGCUCUUUUUCCUCACUGUAUCAAAUGAGGAUGCAUUUCCCAAUUUGUUUAUUCUCCCCCUCAAAGAGUGCUGGAUCUAAGUUGUGCCCAAUUAAGGUCUGUGCUUACAAGUACAUGCCUGUAGCGUCAAUGUUAUUUGAAAAUUCUUUAUGUAAACUUAUUCAGCAUUUAUCCAAACAUAAUAUUAAUCUUUAAGGCUUUUAGAUUUAGCCCUAUAAAGUACUAUUAUCAUUGUAUGUUUACCCAUCUUCAGUUUCCCAUAACAAAAUAUUCAAAUUUGUCUGUAAAUAUGUAGAGGGUAGAAAAGGUGAAUUCUUCUUGUAGAAAGAGCAUUAACCGGAGCAUUGCACUUCUUGUUGGGAAUUAGUGCAGCAAUUUUUCUGUAGAUAAAAGAACCUCUUAUCUUAUGAAGAGCUGCAUUAAUUACAGCCUGAAAUUCUGUUUCACGCAUCCUCUUUCAGAGCCAAGGAGAGAGCAGAGAAAAUGUGUGCUGUUGGAAAUUUGUACUUCCAUUUUCUUUUUCUUCUUGGAAAAUAGCUUUUCUGAAAGGUAAAUAGUACACAAAUGCCAUGAGUUUAGGUGGAACACAGUGCCAAAGCAAUACUAAUUGUUCCAACAACAGCAGCAGCUAUAACUUUAAAACCAAAAAACAAAUUCCAGUGUUAUGAGUAACUUUGCUGAUCAUAAUAAAAGAAGAUGAAAUUUAAUGUCAAUAGCAGUGUGAGUGUAGGAGGUAAUUCUAUUUCAUUUUCUUUUCAAACAAAACAGAAAUAGAACAUGGUUAUACAAGCGAAUAAAAAAACCCAGGUAGUAAAUGGUAGAGAGAUAUCUUCAAUCUAUAUUGAAGCCAAAAGCUUUGGUUUUAGAGCUAUAAAAAGCAGUUUUCACUUUCUAGAAUCUAUAUUAAGAGCUAUAGUUCUUAUUUGUUCCCAUUAUCUUUAUUGGGUGUUGGUGUCCAACAAAAUAAAUGGAUAUAUAGGAGGAAAGUGAGAAUAAUCUAUUGAGAAGACAUUCACUAUGACAGAAAUACUAUUGUACAUGCAAAAUUUACCAACACUUACUUCCUGUUUUCUUCGCACCUCUUCAUGAACUUUGUUCUCUUUCUUAUUCACCAUAACCUUGCCCAAGCUUUGUUCAAUGAUUGCUUUCAAAGUUUGCAUGCAUGCAAGCCUGCUAUAUAGUGGUACUGCCUAUCUCCUCAGGGUUGGGGAAAAGAUUCUUUCCUUAUUUAUUUAUGUGCCUAUAAAGAAAGUCAGGAUAUUUUUUUUUUUUUUGAGACAGAGUCUUGCCCUGUCCCCCAGGCUGGUGCGAUCUCGGCUCACUGCAACCUCUGCCUCCUGGGUUCAAGCGAUUCUCCUGCCUCAGCCUCCCGAGAAGCUGGGACUACAGGCAUGCGCCACCAUGGCCAGCUAAUUUUUGUAUUUUUGAUAGAGACAGGGUUUCACAAUGUUGGCCAGGAUGGUCUCGAUAUCUUGACCUCGUGAUCUACCCGCCUCGGCCUCCCAAAGUUCUGGGAUUACAGGUGUGAGCCACCGGCCAGGAUAUUCUUAUACAUUGUUUCUAUAGAUCACAUUCUCCAGACCACAUCAAGGAAAAGCAUCGGGUCAAGUGGAAUACCUAGAAGAUGUUAAGGAAUUAAAAAUAGUUGCAGGCAAGCCUAAUUCUACCAGGGAAUUAACAAUUACUAUUCUGUAAAAAUUCUGAGAUAAUUAAGCAUGUUGAAUUUGUUAAAAUAACUGAAACCAAUAUGGAAUUGAGUUUCUUCAAAGUAAAGCCAAUUGUCCUUUGAUGCUCAGAAUGAGUUCACAUUUACAAAUGGUGUUGCCUGGUAUAGUAGAAAGAACCCAACAAACCUAGGUUUGAAUUUCCUAUCUGUCACUGAUUGGCUGGUGACCUUGGCCCAGUACCCUCCCGAGAUUCAGUACUUCUCCACAAUGGGAAAAAUGAUACUUACCUUGCAGGGCUAUCAAUAAGGAUACAGCUGUUGUAUAAAGUGUCUAGAAGAGGGCCUUUCACAGGCUCAAAAAUAAGUUGCUUUUGUUGUUGUUGUCACUAAUCACCUUGGCACACUACUUUUCCAUCAAAUGCCUCUAAUACUAUGAUGAAUAGGAAGACCCUUUUGAACUACAAAUAACACAUAAAAUAAUAAAAAUGCCUUAAAUUCAGAGACCACUUUUGAUUCAAAGUACUCAAAACACUUUUCUGUUUCUUGUCUGGUGAGCUCUGUUAAGGGAAAGGAAUAAUAUUUCAGAGAACAUGAGAACGUACCCAUGCAGGUACAGGAAUUUGACAGGACAUCACUGUCUGGCAACAGUUGGCUGUGCCACUUUCACCAGCCAGUUCAGGCUGAGUGAAGGCACAAAACAAAAUGGCACUAUGAGGAAAGUGGACAAAAGGAAACAGGGGGCAAACCCUUCACGAUUUAGGCCACCAGAGAUGUCUCAAAUAAUCUUGUCCAGGCUGGGCACGGUGGCUAACACCUGUAAUCCCAGCACUUUGGGAGGCUGAGGCAGAUGGAUCACCUGAGGUCAGGAGUUUGAGACCAGCCUGGCCAACGUGGUGAAACCCCAUCUCUACUAAAAAUACAAAAAUUAGCUCGGUGUGGUGGCGGGCACCUGUAAUCCCGGCUACUCAGGAGGCUGAGGCAGGAGAAUCGCUUGAACCCGGGAGGCAGAGGUUGUAGUGAGUUGAGAUCACACCACUGCACUCCAGUCUGGGCAACAAGAGCGAAACUCCGUCUCAAAAAUAAAAUAAUAAAAUAAAAUAAAAUCUUGUCCGGUAUACCAAAGGCAAAUCAAUUCACAUCACCUAAAAAAUUACUUACAGAAAUUUGGAAAAAUGAGCAAUUUAGACAAAAGCAAAGAAUUGAGGCAAAGAUCUGGGCUCCUCUGACAAAAAUCAUUUUAAAAAAUUUUGUCCAGAAUUAGCCCAGUCAUUGCUUCCAUUCUCAGCUUUUCACAAGCUGUAGAAAUAGAGCCAAACUUAGUUCCUUCAGGUUUCUUGUUGGCUGCAAAAUGAUAUGAGGCCUUUCAUCUCCUCCCUGAUGUUGCAAUCCUUUCUCUUUGCGACUGCCUCAUCCACCACCUGCCUCACGCCAACACUUUGCCUACUAUUUUCUCCUCUGUCCCUCCUUCCCGUGUGGCCAUUUGGCCCGCUGGCCGGGCAGCAGGCGGGCUGUCACGUGACCGAAUCCCAGCGGCUUUGCAGCACCCACGUCCGAGUUUUCCAUGACGCACCUGCUGCCGUCACGUUGGCUCCCAUGUAAAUAAAUGGUCAAAUCUUUUCCAAAAGUGGUUUUGACAAAGAACGGCUUAAACCGCCAAAGAUGUUGACAAAUGGGCUGUUAUCUAGGAGAGUGAGUAAAGCAACCCAUUUGAACGACAAGAACAGAUAAGGCCCAACUCUUUGUCUCCUUUCCUCUUUUACAUUGAUAUUCCCGGGGAGACAAAGGGGAAGAAGAAAAGGAAAGAAAGGCAGAUCUUUAGCACUGGCUGUCCCAGAGUUGAUUAGGAUGCUGAUCUGUGUGGCAGGCUUCUAGGUUCUCACCCAACUUCUUGGCUGCUAUUCAAAGGAUUUAACAGUGCUCUUUGUAAAUAGUGGUGUACAAAGCCCAACUAAAAAUAGUACAUUUCCAGGGUCUGAAUCGGGUGAGUGGAAUGAGUGGCAAUGGCUGUAUUGUACAAGACAGAUUACAAGCAAGUUACUUGAUGGUACUUUAUAUGCAGGGUUAUUCACAUGCUUCAUCUGGUUUGGUUAAAUAAUGCAAACACAUUUACCAACGUACAUGAUCGUUUUGUUUAUUUAUGCUCUGGAGAGCUUGUGUGUGUUUAUGACAGACAAAUGUACAUGUUCUAUUUUCUGACAAUCAAACAAAGCUCUCCCUGAUGAGGUAAAUAGCUGAGUUAAAUAGUGGAGUGAGGGCUCCUGAGAAUCGCUGAUGUGACACCAUGGUGGUUGUUAAUGACAGGUUUCCUGCUGCGCUUGCUGCCCUGAAGGAUUUUUGCUGAAGGUGGGAAUCAACAAGAGGCUCUGACAACUAGUGAGACUGCUAGUUCUGGCUGAAAUCUCUCUGUGAACCAUGAGUGUGAAAGCUUCUUCCUCACUAGGAGUUUUUCAGGAUGAGAGCAACUGCAUGUGUGCUUCCUUCCCCUCACCCCUGAGGCUGAGCUGUGUUGGGUGGGGAGGUGAGGUUCUCAUCCUUAGGCCAGAACAGAUGUUGCCUGUGCAGGCUGUGGAAACAAGGAGUCACCAGGACCUCUCAAAUAAGAUUCAGACUCAGGGAGAAGCCUAAAGAAAUGAAGUAAGACCAUUAUUUUCCCAGACGAAGAUACUAGGAAAGUGUUUUGCAGUCUUUUGAAAGCCAAAGCUACCCCCUCCUAAUGUUUUCAACCGUAAGCAGUGGUUAUUCCUGUAUAUUUUGAGGUGAGAGAUUGUCUCAUACCAAAAUAUAAUAUAUUUUCUAUGUAAGUAAUUGUCUCUCAGGCAGUUUGGAGACUCUCUUAUUUAAUACAGUGUGGAAACCCUUGGGUGAAGCCCUUGGUCAUUCUGGCAGGUCGAUUUCCUCUUCGAAGAUGGGGACUGAGAACAGGGACCGCUCUGGAAGGAGCUGGGCCAGGAAAAACAUUAUAGAGGAUUCAAGAAACCCAGCCUGUGAAUUUGGCAAACAUUUAUCCUACCCAAAUUUCAUGGGUUUAAAUGGAUGCAUCUUGGGUGAAUUGGGUCUGACAGCCUAGACUCUGUACACGUUGGCACUUGUCACUCUUCUGCAUAUGCUGCAUGACUUUGGGAAAGUCACAGAAACUCUUUGACCCCCCAGUUUCCUCAUCUGUAAAACAGGGAGAAUAAUGCCUACCUCAUUAAGCAGAUUGUUGUGAGGACUCAAUUAGGCAAUGUAAGUAAGGCGCUUGUCACAUGGUCAAAUAGAUCCAUUAUAAUGACAAUGAGAGGCUAUUAGACAGCAUUCCUGGGCAUAGCCUCUCACCUGCUUAAUGACAUCCUAGUGUCUCUCAAAAUUGGUAUCAUCUCACAUGUUGAACACUAUGCAAAUGUCUGAUUCCUUUUGAGUAUUGCCACCAUCAUCAUUCUUAUUAUCUCUGAAUGUUGAAGAAUGAACACUCCAAAAAGCAUUUAAUGACAAUUCCCAUGACCUGUCAUUCCCUUCUUUAUCAACAAGGAUGUCAUAAUUAGGGUUAAUUUCUCUUUGAAGCUGUCUCAGAAGAUAACAUAAGCCAUUAUUUUGACCAUUCUGGAAUUUCCUGGCUUUUAUUUCUUAUGCUAAGGAAUUAGAAUUUUUCUUCACUAAGGUAGAUUUUUGCUUACAUCCCUAAAGAGCCAGGAGAGGAACAAAUUUCACCUCUUGUUUGAAACUGAAUUUUCGAGCCAAUGAAAGACUAUAACUGAAUAGGCUUCUCUUUGGACACAUCCUCAGGCAUGAGUAAAAUGAGUUCUGAAAGACCUGAUGUAGUUUGGAUAUGUGAAGAGCCAAAUGGCUUUUUCAAAGCCAUGGUCAUGGCACAAAACCCCACCAUGUUUGUAAAGACAGCAAGGGCAUGUGAGAGACGAGGUAGCCCUAUGAAUGGAAAAAUCAAACCACGCAACACAAAUGUAGAUGGUAACCCUGCUUGAAUCAUUUGCAAGAUUUGCUUUCAGUACCUGUGCUACAGCAUUCUAAUCUUAUUCUACAAAGAAGGAUCACUGUGACUACUACUGCUACUACUUUUAGUGGUUAUCAUCCAAAGUUAACUAAGUUCCUAUAAAGAAAAUCUUCUUGGCCAAAUAUAUGAAAAUAUUGGAAUUGACACGUUUACAAAAUUUUCUCAUCACUAUACUUAAAAAUCAUAUUGGAAAGGCAAAGGAUUUUGAAAAUUGUCCAGGUUUCACUUUCACUGGCCAAAUUAAAUGAAUUCCUUUACUUUUCCUUCAGAAGGGCACAAUCUUGCCUCUACAGAGCUUCCAUUCCCAGAGGGAGAAAAUGUACACACACAACAACUAAAAGAAUGACACUUUCUCUUCCAGUUCAUUAGAGACUUGCUUGUUUUGCUUUUUUGUUUCACUGUAAGCCUAUCUGCUAAUGUUUCAAUCGUGUUCUAGACGUCAAGAAGGAUUAAAAACUAGCCCUGUGCUCGUGGAUCUUGUUGGGGAGAGGAAUAACUUUCAUCUAAAAACUACUCAAGACAGUACGCAUAAGUGCCAAUUAAAUUUAAUCAGCCACUAAAAUAAUGGCAGAGAUCACCAAGGCUAGGGAAAAUCAACAUCAGGGUAGGAUGGAUGGCAAAGAAAUGCUAUUUGGUAAAGGUAUGUGAAAGCGGCUGUUAUGGGCUGAAUUGUGUCUCCCCAAAAUUCACAUGUUAAAGUCCCAACUCACCCCCAGUACUUCAGAAAGUGACUAUAUUUGUAAACAGGAUGUUUAAGGAGAUAAUUAAGUUACAAUGGGCUUAUUAGAAUAGGUUCUAACCCAUUGUGACCGAUGUGCUCAUGAGAACAGGAGAUUUGGACGGAUGCAGCUACAGAGAGAAGAGCAGGUGAAGACUCAGGGAGAAAGCAGCCAUCUCCAAGCAAAGCAGAGAAGCUUCAGAAGAAACCAACCCUGCUGACACCUUGGUCUCUAACUUCUAGCCUCCAGAAUGUGGAGAAAAUAUUUCUCUGUUGAUGAAGCCACCCAGUCUACGGUACUUUGUUAUGGCAGUCCUAGCAAACGGCAGUCUUGAGAUUUGUUUAGGUAGAAAAAAGGGGUGAAGUGUGUACUAUGCUUCUUCCUCUUCUGUUAUUAAAUAUCUAACUCUUAUUUGCAUUUUCUUUUCCUUGUUUAUGUCCUUGGCCCUACUGUUAGGUAUAGAGGCUUGGGAGGUGAUGAGGAGAAGGGAGUUGAGAAGGGAAUUCAGGAAGGUAGAAGUGGGAGCAGAGAAAAGAAAGAGAUGCCAUCCUAGUGUUUUACUGGAGAUCAGAUUUGGAAGAAGCAACAAAAAGCAGCAAUUAUGAAAGCAGUGAGCAGUUUUGAAACUCAGGCAUGGUAUUAAGAAUAAGGAACUACAGAGAAUUUAACAAGAUUAUCGAAAAUCUCAAAUUUAUCUGUACUCUAUAAGGAAGACUUUAUUGUUCACUUGUGGCCUUUUGAUAAGUUCAACCUUUAUCUUCUGAAGAUAAAUUCCAAUAUUAUCAUUAUAGUUAUGACUUAUUUGAUAUUUAUAACCCUCCAGGGUUGCCUUCCUGCCACAUUAUUUUUGCACUGUUGAAAUACUAUUUUGUCCAUAGUGGAUAUAAGAGAUGUAAAUGUAAUAUGAAAGCAUUUAUAUCAAUUGUAAAGACAUGGCAGGGCUAUUUAGUCAAAUAGGACUUGUCACUCAAGUGAUUCUCAUUACCCAUUAAAUAUUUCUCAGUGAUUCAGUGGUUUUCAAUUGGUUGAGAAACAUAGUGGGGACAAAUGCCAAUAUAUGAAGACAAAUGCUGCCUCAAACCUAAGCUGCCAAUCUAGGAAAACCCUGAAACUAGUCCAACAUAUUUUACCACCCAGACAUAAUUUGUUUUUAAUGGUGAUGUAAAGAAAUCUGUGGUUAAGUGACCACAUUUAAAUUGUUGUUUCUUAAAGAAAGGGCUUAUGUUUGGUCUAAGUCCCUGGGAGUACUUUAGUCUUAGUAGUGAAUUUAGAAAAAUGUAAGUUUCUUCUGCCUGCUAUUUUGCAAGUUGUGCUGGGAGUGAGCAGGAAAUAGAAUUCCCAAGGAUGACUUUUAUGGCCUGAUCUUUGCAACUAGAAAAGUAUUUGGUGUGGGGCACAUUGAUUGUUUCAGAAUCUGCUUUUUGUCCUCCCUGGCUCUGAAAGGUCUAUUGCCUUCAGGGAUCCCUCCUGGGCCAAGGCUUAUGGGCUUUCCCUAAGGGCUUCCUGCCCUGGCUGGCUGGUGGCUUCUGGGGAGCCGGCCAGGCCCUGCCUCAGCCUGCUGCUGUGGCCUUGUUUGUUCACUGCUCUUCAUCCUUUGGUUCAGAUUCAUGCUCUUUACUCCUCCCUCAGACUGGAUGCUUUCACCUUGUUCAAAUUCUCGGCUGCCCUCACCUAGUGUCACUUUGAUCACCUUCCUAAAAUCAAGGGACAGUCAUCUCUGCUGUCAUGCUGAGCCCGAGUUCCUGACAUGCCAGCCUGGGUCUUCUGCUUUUCCAGGAGAAAAAGUUUAACACGUAAAACAUCUUAAGCACUUCUCCGUAGCUCUGUCAAUAGUAUAAUGUUUGGCUCAAUAAACACUUAUUGCAUGAGAGAAAAUAAAGGAAGAAAAAAGAGAGAGAGAAAGAAAAAGGGACAGAAGGAAAGAAAAGAGAAAGAGAGAGAGAGAAGGGGAGAAAGAAAGAAGGAUGGGCCAGGUGCAGUGGCUCACGCCUAUAAUCCCAGCACUUUGGGAGGCUGAGGCGGGUGGAUCAUGAGGUCAGGAGAUUGAGACUAUCCUGGCGAACACGGUGAAACUCCGCCUCUACUAAAAAUACAAAAAAUUAGCUGGGCGUGGUGGUUGGCGCCUGUAGUCCCAGCUACUCGGGAGGCUGAGGCAGGAGAAUGGCAUGAACCCUGGAGGCAGAGCUUGCAGUGAGCUGAGAUCAUGCCACUGCACCCCAGCCUGGGCGACAGAGCAAGACUCCAUCUCAAAAAAAAAAGAGAGAAGGAUGGAAAGAGAGAAGGAAAGAAGGGCAAGAAAGAAGGAAGGAAAGAAAGAAAGUUGGCUUUACGCAUAAUUUCUAUUUCACUUGCGUCCGUGUGAAGAGACCACCAAACAGGCUUUGUGUGAGCAAUAAAGCUUUUAAUCACCUGGGCGCAGGUGGGCUGAGUCCAAAGAGAGAGUCAGCAAAGGGAGAUAGGGGUGAGGCCGUUUUAUAAGAUUUGGGUAGGUAAAGGAAAAUUAUAGUCAAAGGGGGGUUGUUCUCUGGCGGGCAGGAGUGGGGGUCACAAGGUGCUCAGUAGGGGAGCUUUUGAGCCAGGAGGAGCCAGGAGAAGGAAUUUCACAAGACAAUGUCAUCAGUUAAGGCAGGAACAGGCCAUUUUCAUUUCUUUUGUGGUGGAAUGUCAUCAGUUAAGGUAGGAACCAGCCAUCUGGAUGUGUACGUGCAGGUCACAGGGGAUAUGAUGGCUUAGCUUGGGCUCAGAGGCCUGACAUUCCUGUCUUCUUAUAUUAAGAAAAAUAAAAUGAAAUAGUGGUAAAGUGUUGGGACCGUGACAAUUUUGGGGGGUGGUAUGGAGAGAUAAUGGGCGAUGUUUCUCAGGGCUGCUUCGAGCGGGAUUAGGGGCGGCGUGGGAACCUAGAGUGGGAGAGAUUAAGCUGAAGGAAGGUUUUGUGGUAAGGGGUGAUAUUGUGGGGUUGUUAGAAGAAACAGUUGUCAUUUAGAAUUAUUGGUGAUGGCCUGGAUAUGGUUUUGUAUGAAUUGAAAAACUAAACGGAAUAAGAGAAAGAGAAAAACAGGUAUUAAAGGUCUAAGAAUUGGGAGGACCCAGGACAUCUAAUUAGAGAGUGCCUAAGGAGGUUCAGCAUAGCCCUGGAGCAAAGAUUAUUUAUUUACUUUAAGAGUUAAGAGUGGCAGUUUGGGGAUAGCACCAGGAGAUAUCAUCUGUGAUGACUUGGAGAAACAGAGUAAACCGGCAGUGUAAACAAGAGCAGAGCAUGUAUGAGUAGUUGAGAAUGGUGAAUAGGAGUAUGACUAGACAGAAGAUAGUAGGGAUGACAAGUUUUGGGGGGCACAGUCCAAGUUGGUCUGGUGUCUGGAAUGAGACCAGGGCCUAAUAAAAAGGAGCAUCUAUACAGGAGCUCAAAUGGGCUGUACCCUGUAGCAUUCUGAGGACAGGUCUGACUUCUGAGAAGGGAAAAUGGUAAAAGUAUUGUCCAGUCCUUUUUAAGUUGGUGGCUGAGCUUGGUGAGGUGUGUUUUUAAAAGACCUUUAGUCCGUUCUACUUUUCCUGAAGACUGAGGACUGUAAGGGAUAUAAAGGUUUCACUGAAUACCAAGAGCCUGAAAAACUGCUUGGCUGAUUUGACUAAUAAAGGCUGGUCUGUUAUCAGACUGUAUAGAGGUGGGAAGGCUAAACCGAGGAAUUAUGUCUGACAGAAGGGAAGAAAUGACUGCAGUGGCCUUCUCAGACCCUGUAGGAAAGGCCUCUACCUAUCCAGUAAGAGUGUCUUCCUAGACUAAGAGGUAUUUUAGUUAUCUGACUUGGGGCAUAUUGAGUAAAGCUAAUUUGCCAGUCCUGGGUGGGGGCAAAUCCUUGAGCUUGAUGUGUAGGGAAGGGAGGGGGCCUGAAUAAUCCUUGAGAAGUAGUAGAAUAGCAGAUGGAACACUGAGAAGUUAUUUCCUUGAGGAUAGAUUUCCACGAUGGAAAGGAAAUGAGAGGUUUUAAGAGGCGGGCUAGUGGCUUGUACUAUAGCGUAGCCUGCCUUUGCUGGUGUGUGGCGAUUAGGCCUGGUGGAACUGCCAUCAAUAAACUAAGUGUGAUCAGGGUGAGGAACAGGAAAGAAGGAAAUAUAGGGAAAUGGGUUGAAUGUCAGGUGGAUCAGAGAGAUGCAGUCAUGAGGGUCAGGUGUGGUAUCCAGAAUAAUGUGGGAGGCCGGUUUGAAGUCUGGGCCAGGAACAACGGUAAUUGUGGGAGACUCAACAAAGAGUGAGUACAGCUGAAGGAGCCGGGGAGCAGAAAAUAUGUGCGUCAGGUGGGAGGAAGAAAAUAGAUUUUGGAAGUUAUGAGAACUGUAGAGUGAGUUGAGCAUAGUUUGUCAUUUUUAGGGCCUCUAAAAGUAUUAAAGCAGUGGCAGCCGCUGCACGCAGACAUGAGGGCUAGGCUAAAACAGUAAGGUCAAGUUGUUUGGACAGAAAGGCUACAGGGUGUGGUCCCGGCUCUUGUGUAAGAAUUCUGACUGCACUAACCAUGCCUAGGAAGGAAAGGAGUUGUUGUUUUGUAGAAGGGAUUGGGGUUUGGGAGAUAAGCCGGACACGAUCAGCAGGGAGAGCACAUGUGUUUUUAUGAGAAUUAUGCCGAGAUAGGUAACAGAUGAGGAAGAAAUUUGGGCUUGAUUGAAGUAAUGGGGGCUGUCUGUGAAGACUUGCGGCAGUACAGCCCAGGUAAUUUGCUGAGCUUGAUGGGUGUCAGGGUCAGUCCAAGUGAAAGCGAAGAGAGGCUGGGAUGAAGGGUGCAAAGGAAUAGUAAAGAAAGCAUGUUUGAGAUCCAGAACAGAAUAAUGGGUUGUGGAGGGAGGUAUUGAGGAUAGGAGAGUAUAUGGGUUUGGCACCUUGGGGUGGAUAGGCAAAGCAAUUUGGUUGAUAAGGCGCAGAUCUUGAAUUAACCUGUAAGCCUUGUCUGGUUUUGGGACAGGUGAAAUGGGGGAAUUUUAAGGGGAGUUUAUAGGUUUUAGAAGCCCAUGCUGUAGCAGGUGAGUGAUAACAGGCUUUAAUCCUUUUAAAGCAUGCUGUGGGAUGGGAUAUUGGCGUUGAGUGGGGUAAGGGUGAUUAGGUUUUAAUGGGAUGGUAAUGGGCAUGUGAUCAGUUGCCAGGGAAGGAGUAGAGAUGUCCUAUACUUGUGGGUUAAGGUGGGGGGAUAGGAGAGGAAGAUGCAAAGGAGGCUUUGGGUUGGGGAGAAGGGCAGUAAUGAGAUGCAGCUGUAGUCCAGGAAUAGUCAGGGAAGCAGAUAAUUUAGUUAAAAUGUCUUGGCCUAAUAAGGGAACUGGGCAGGUGGGGAUAACUAAAAAAGAGUGCAUAAAAGAAUGUUUUCCAAGUUGGCACCAGAGUUGGGGAGUUUUAAGAGGUUUAGAAGCCUGGUCGUCAAUACCCACAACAGUUAUGGCCCUUGAAAAUAAGGUAAUGUGGAGUGGGUAGCUUCCGUAGUAUUUAAGAAGGGGACGGACUUACCCUCCACUGUGAGAGUUACCUGAAGCUUGGCAUCCGUGAAGGUCUAGGGGGCUUCCGAGGCUAUCAGGCAGCAUCAGUCUUCAGCCGCUAAGCCAAGAAGAUCUGGGAGGGAGUCAGAGAGCCUUGGGCCAGAGUUCCAGGGGCUCUAGGGGGUGAGUUGGACAGUCUGAUUUCCAGUGGGGUCGCAUACAGAUGGGACACGGCUUAGGAGGAAUCCUGGGCUGCAGGCAUUCCUGGGCUGCAGGCAUUCCUUGGCCUGGUGGCCAGAUUUCUGGCACUUGUAGCAAGCUCCUGGGGGAGGUGGGCCUGGAGGAAUGCCUGGCCACUGUGGUUUAGGCAUUUGGAAGUUCUUGUGUGCUGGAGAUGUGGCUGGGGUUUGUCUCACAGUGGAGGCAAGGAAUUGUACAUCUUGAAGGCCAGGUUAAUUAAGUCCUGUUGUGGGGUUUGAGGGCUGGAAUUUAAUUUUUGGAGUUUUAUUUAAUGUUGGGAGCAGAUUGGGUAAUAAAAUGUAUAUUGAGAAUAAGACGGCCUUUUGAUCUUUUAGGGUCUAGGGCUGUAAAGCGUCUCAGGGUUGCUGCCGAACGAGCCAUGAACUGGGCUGGGUUUUUUAUAUUUGAUGAAAAACAGUGUAAACACUAACUGAUUUGGGAGAAGUUGGAUAAAGAAAAAGGAGCAUUAACCUUGACUAUGCCUUUAGCUCCAGACACCUUUUUAAGAGGAGAUUGCUGGGCAGGUGGGAGAGGGCUAGAAGCGGAAUGAAACUGUAAGCCAGACCGGGUGUGAGGAGGGGAGGUGAUAAAAGGAUUAUAGGGUGGAGGAGCCGAGGCUGAGGAAGAAUUGGGACCUAGCUCCACCUGGCGAGGAGGGGAGAGGUCAGAUGGGUCUGUAGAAAAGGAAGAUUAGAAAGACUCAGCAACACUUGGGGCUGGGACUGAGGGGACAGGCAGGAGGGAAAGAAGGAAGAUUUGGGAUGAGUUGCAUUGGAAACAGAGACUAGGGAGGGACUGAUAUGUAAAAGAAUGCCUGGACGUCAGGCACCUCAGACCGUUUGCCCAUUUUACAAGAAUUAUCUAGAUCUUGUAGGAUGGAAAAAUCGAAAGUGCCGUUUUCUGACUAUUUAGAGCCAUUGUCAAGUUUGCACUGGGGCCAAGCGGUGUUGCAGAAGAAGAUAAGGCGUUUAGGUUUUAGGUCAGAUGUGAGUUGAAGAGGUUUUAAGUUCUUGAGAACACAGGCUAAGGGAGAAGAAGGAGGAAUGGAGGGUGGAAGGUUGCCCAUAGUGAAGGAGGCAAACCCAGAGAAAAGAGAGAGUAGAGACAUGGAGGGAAGGGGUUCGGGGGUUCUUACCCUCCAGAAAAGCGGGAAAGGGGUCGGGGCAUGGAAAUAAGGGGUUGGGGCACAGAGAUAAGAGGUUGAGGCGUGGAAAUAAGGGGCUGGGACACAGAGAUAAGAGGUCGGGGCAUGGAAAUAAGGGAUCGGAGCACAGAGAUAAGAGGUUGGAGCAUGGAAAUAAGGGAUCAGGGCACAGAGAUAAGAGGUUGGGGCAUGGCAAUAAGGGAUCGGGGGUUCUUGCCCCCUAGAAAAGCAGUACUUGCCGCUAAGGGUGAAGGAGAAGGGGUUGGGGGGUUCUUGGCCCCAGAAAAGUGGAGAAAGGGUAGAGACAUGGAGAGAAGGAGUUGGGGGGUUCUUGCCUCCCAGAAAAGUGGUACUUGCCGCUAAGGGUGAAGGACCAAGGCAGAUGCCCCGUGUGGUCAGACACCUCUGAAACGUCGGUGAAUAAUCAGAGAGGUGUCCCUGCAAUGAUUAAACACCAAGGGAAGGCUGCCUUCCUGAGUCCAUGAACCGGCACUGGAGUUUUGGGUCCAUGGAUAAAACGUGUCUCCUUUGUCUCUACCAGAAAAUGAAAGGAAUUGAAAUUAAGAGAAGGGAGAGAUUGAAGGGUGGCACCAAGAUUGAAAGGAGAAAGUGGUUGAGGGAUAGUGAGAGAGGUUGGAGAAGAGAGUAAGAAAAGGCCGCUUACCCAAUUUAAAAUUGGUGAGACGUUCCUUGGGCUGGUGGGUCUGAGGACCCGAGGUUGUAGGUGGAUCUUUUUCACGGAGCAAAGAGCAGGAGGACAGGGGAUUGAUCUACCAAGGGAGGUUCCCCGAACCGAGUCAUGGCACCAAAUUUCAUGCGCGUCCGUGUGAAGAGACCACCAAACAGGCUUUGUGUGAGCAAUAAAGCUUUUUAAUCACCUGGGUGCAGGCGGGCUGAGUCCGAAGAGAGAGUCAGCAAAGGGGAUAGGGGUGGGGCUGUUUUAUAAGAUUUGGGUAGGUAAAGGA